GCCGGGUGAGGUGGCGGGCGCCUGUAGUCCCAGCUACUCCGGAGGCUGAGGCAGGAGGAUCGCUUGAACCUGGGAGGCGGAGGUUGUGAUGAGCCAAGAUCAUGCCAUUGCACUCCAGCCUGNNNNNNNNNNCAGGCUGGAGUGCAAUGGCAUGAUCUUGGCUCAUCACAACCUCCGCCUCCCAGGUUCAAGCGAUCCUCCUGCCUCAG
rnacentral:SRP_RNA from 1 species